AUUGAACGCUGGCGGCAUGCUUUACACAUGCAAGUCGAACGGUAACAGGUCUUCGGAUGCUGACGAGUGGCGAACGGGUGAGUAAUACAUCGGAACGUGCCUGGUAGUGGGGGAUAACUACUCGAAAGAGUAGCUAAUACCGCAUGAGAUCUACGGAUGAAAGCAGGGGACCUUCUGGCCUUGUGCUACUAGAGCGGCUGAUGGCAGAUUAGGUAGUUGGUGGGGUAAAGGCUUACCAAGCCUGCGAUCGGUAGCUGGUCUGAGAGGACGACAGCCACACUGGGACUGAGACACGGCCCAGACUCCUACGGGAGGCAGCAGUGGGGAAUUUUGGACAAUGGGCGAAAGCCUGAUCCAGCAAUGCCGCGUGCAGGAUGAAGGCCCUCGGGUUGUAAACUGCUUUUGUACGGAACGAAAAGCCUGGGGCUAAUAUCCCCGGGUCAUGACGGUACCGUAAGAAUAAGCACCGGCUAACUACGUGCCAGCCGCCGCCGUAACAC
rnacentral:rRNA from 1 species